UACGUAGGGGGCAAGCGUUGACCGGAUUUACUGGGCGUAAAGAGCGCGUAGGCGGACGUUUAAGUGUGGCCUGAAAGCCCCCGGCUCAACCGGGGAUCCGGGUUGCAAACUGGACGUCUUGAGGGGGAUAGGGGAAGGUGGAAUUCCUGGUGUAGCGGUGAAAUGCGUAGAGAUCUGGAGGAAUACCGAUGGCGAAGGCAGCCAUCUAGCCUAACACUGACGCUGAGGUGCGAAAGCAUGGGGAGCAAACAGG
rnacentral:rRNA from 1 species